GGCUACCUGGCGCAAUGGUAGCGCGUUUGGCUUCGAUUGCUGAAUUUUACCAAAAGGUUGCAGGUUCGAGUCCUGCGGUGGUCA
rnacentral:tRNA from 1 species